GUAGACAGUUACCCAGGACAGCUUCAGAUAUCUCACUUACACUGACUUUCCCUAGGGUAUUUCUACAAUAGCUUCAAGUAAAAAAGGCCCUGCAAUCACUGGAUGCAGCAGCAGCAAUUGAAGCCUCUCAGCACCUAUAGCAGAGCCCUGCCGCGCAACACUGCAACUGGUAAUCAACUGUUGAGUCACACUAGGACCAGUGUUGGAACAUUGCUGCAAAAAGCUGACUGAUUCCAGAUGACUCACCAUAGCAGGUAUCACUUAAGAAGAGUCCACACUGAAAAUAAAGCACCUGCACAUCCUCAAGACAAAGCAGUCACUCCUGCAAUUAGUCCAGGUUUCUUGGAGAACUCUGGAACACAGACAACUACCGAUUUGGCUGAACCCAAACUGCAGAUAUGACCCUCCUCAACCUCUACAAGGGCUUGCAUCACAUCUAGUAAAUACCACUGCUUCCCUGCUCCCAAUCAUACAGCUUCCUCCACCCCCAACGACCCUAAUAAUCACUACUACCAUGCCACUGACUUGCACUGAAGUCACCCUGCGUAUCGGCCUAGGGAGAGAGUAGAAAUUCUGAUCCCCAAAAAUGAAUGGAAGGGAGAAUCUGUGACCUCCAGCACUGCUAAGGGCAGGCUAUUGUUCACAAUGAAUUUAUCCUCAUCCCUGAGGAAGGUGAUGUGAAAACAGAGGAUCAGCAGUUUUCAUAACCAUGAACAUACCAACCUGGGAGGAAAAACAGUUUAGCAGUCGUCAAAGGGCUGAGGAUAGACCUUAAUGUAACCAGAUAUUCAUCCCACAUCCACAGAGGCAUAUGGGCAGUUGAAGCUAAAGCAAGAAAGACAAGGGCACCCAGAGAAAAAGAGUAUUUUUCUUAUUCUGAACUGUACCAAAUAAAAGGCAAUUUUGCACGACAAUUCAACUCCUUUGCAUAAAGGUCUUUCACACCAACUGUAUCCCAAAUUGCUUUGCAGAGUUAAAUAUAACAAUUAUGGAGACCAAUAGGCGAUUCUGUGAGAAAAAAAACAUUGUUUUCAAACGUAAUUGCUAGCUGUGUCUAGACACUGCAACCAACGCUGUAUCUUAAUCACCGCAAUAACGCCACCAGAGACACGGAAGACAUUAAUAAGGAAAUGGGAAACAUGCAUGCAGCCGAGGUUUGAAGUGAUAGACACAAUGAAAGGGACGCAAGGAGGCGGGAACAGCAGGGCAAUCACCAACCCCAAUCAGACUAUGGAAGGACACAGAGGAAGGGAUGGAUGAGGGGAAGGCGGAGGCAGAGGAGGUUGGAAAGUCAGACUGGGACAAGACCAGGCAGAGAUUUAAAAAUAAGAUUGCAACUUUGAUGAAGGGGCAUGCAGAGGCAUUGUUUAGCAACAGGGGAAGAUGUGGCUUCAUUUUAAGACUUCAUUU